AACCGAAGGCUUCUCACUCUAGGCACACCGCGUUGCGCAAUCUCCAUUAAUGUUCUCUAUAAGUUAACAGGCUAUUCUCAAACUAACUACUGUGACCCACUGAAUAUAAAGUCGAACUUCUUUAACUGCACAUUUUACUACAAUUAAAGCUCGAUAAAACUUGUAAAAUUUAGGUUGCUUGCUUUGGUAAUUAUUUUUUUAUUUAAAGUAAGCUUUUGAUUUAAAACUUGACUAUAAAAGUUUGAUAUUUUCAAUUAACCCUAUUUGAAAUGCAAAUCAUUUAGUUUGAGUUAGAGAAGUUUGUAACGAACGUUAAGUUGACCAAUUAAAAACAAAAUUUUAACUACGUAAUUGAUGUGAGCCCAUUGAACAUGUAAAUUUUGCGUGCGUUCGUCAGUCUUUUAAACAACUAUAUUUAAACUAUAUAAUUCUUGUGACCCAUUGACAAUGUACAUUUCGUUUAUCGUUCAUUUUGCAAUUGCAUGGAUGAAUGAUGUCCUAUAUUUCUGUAUACGCGUAUAUUGCAUGUAUUUAUUGUUCGAUUAAAGUGCAACAAUUUAGUUUAACUACCAAACGAUCUCAUGAAUUUGACAACACUUAUCGCACGAUCGGCGAUAAUCAGUAUAUAAAGCAGCCCAAAAUUCCACUUACCAGUCAGUCUAGCAAAAUGUUUCGAUCGUUAUAUCUAUUCGGAGUCCUUUCUCUGGUUUGCGUGGCUGCCCAGGACAUCGUACCCGAUGAUCCGGAAGUGCAGAAGCAAAUGCACUCCAUGUUCUACACAGCUCGAGUUGCCUGUGCGGACGAGAAUAUGAUUCCAUAUGCCAAUGUCUUGCAGUUUAAUAGCACGGGUGAAUUGCCAGAGGACAAGGACAAAGUCACCAGCAUGGUACGUUUGUUUCGUAAGUCCAAUACCUCCGCAUUCUCACGCAGUCCUUGCAGUGCUACUUCAACUGCUUUUUCGAAAAGUCCGGUUUGAUGACGGACUAUAAGUUGAAUACGGAUCUGGUGCGCAAAUAUGUUUGGCCAGCCACCGGUGACUCCAUUGAGGCUUGCGAGGCCGAAGGCAAGGACGAGACGAAUUCCUGCAUGCGUGGCUAUGCCAUCGUCAAGUGCGUCUUCAUCAGAGCCCUCACGGAUGCCAGGAACAAGCCCACCGUUUGAGUAUCACAAAAAGUCAGC